rnacentral:rRNA from 1 species
GACGGAGGAUGCAAGCGUUAUCCGGAAUGAUUGGGCGUAAAGCGUCCGCAGGUGGCCGUUCAAGUCUGCUGUCAAAGGCCGGGGCUUAACUUCGGAAAGGCAGUGGAAACUGAACAGCUAGAGUAUGGUAGGGGCAGAGGGAAUUCCUGGUGUAGCGGUGAAAUGCGUAGAUAUCGGGAGGAGCACCUGUGGCGAAGGCGGCCCCCUGGUUGGAUACUGACGCUGAUACGCGAAAGCGUGGGGAGCAAACAGG